GGGGGGUUGCUGAGUUGAGGGCAGUGCAGAGUGGCCUUCUUGGAGAGAGACCGGAGGAGUGCAUGGGACAAACCUGGGCCCGGUGUGCACCACGAAUAGAAGCCUGAGCGUGCAGCCGUCUGUGUUGGCAGGUCUCCUCUCACCACACAUAUCUUGUUCUUGCAGCACAUUUUCACACAUACACCUCCCAUACAUUUGUUAACUUUAUUUUGACCCACUUUUGGUGAAUAAAUAACGUUAUUUAGUAAGUAUACCCGUGCGUCUUUCAUUUUUGCAACGGUUUUAGAGCCGGGUGUACAAUUUAGAAGCCAGAGUGACUCACAAAGCAAAUUUAAUCCUGUGUUUUAAUGAGGGGCCAUGUUAUGCCAAAAGGGGGAGGCAUUGCGCUACUGUAGAGUACCAUCAGCUGCAAAUACAAACAAUGCCUCAUUUACAGAACUGAGUGGCAUUAGACGGUCUUAAAUUAAAGAAUUACUUAUUUGAAUGAGACAAAAUAGUAUCAAAUAACACACCAUCCGCCUCAGUAAGAGCUUCUUUCCUCAGGCGAUCAGGUUGUUGAACAGUUGACGUGCCGCACAUGUAAUAUAUUGUGUGUAAGGCAGAGGGCGCCACCGAGCACAAGCAUUUCAUUGUAAUUAAUACAUGACAAUAAACUCGGACUAAAGUUGGCUGUUAACAACCUAAACAACAAGUCCAAAAGGAAUACUUCAUGUCAGAGGUUUUUUUUUAAUGCAAAAAUACAUCCUUGUGUUUCAGCUACAAAUCCAUGGUUACUGUGUUUGAGAUGAGAUCAGCAUCAACAAUUCACCAAGCCACCUACAAAAUGAGUAUUAGUCUAAAAUAAAAGUAAUAAAUAUAAAAUGAUGUAGGUAAAAA